rnacentral:lncRNA from 1 species
AGGACUCAAAGGAAGAGUAUACAUAAGGGUACAAGAUAGGAGGAAGAAGAGAAACUAUUAAUGGAACACUACCUCACUGGCUUGUAACUUUUACCUGGAUCUUAAGAUCUUCAAUAAGCUUUCCAGGGAAGCCUUCUGGCUCUUAGGAUAGCUCUUGAAGCUGGAUAGUCCAGGGGUUUAUCCUCCAAUAUUGGCAUUGGGGGUCUUCUUAUAGAAGUUUGGCUAGCUCAUCUUUACUUGAGCUUCAAAUAGCUUGACACUAAAGUAGCUUGGUGUUGUAUCAACUUUACUAAAGUUUAACUUGGUGCUGAAGUAAUCAUCUUUGCUGGCUGGCAAAUCUACUUUAUGCUAAAGUAACUUACUGGCUAAGUAGUUAAAAAGUAACUAAUUUUCUUGGUAGUAAAGCAACUUUGUUGGUGAUUAGGUGACUUGAAAUAAUUUUGCUGAGGAGGCAUCUGGCUAGUCUUCUUGUUGAUGAUCUAUCAUCUUGUCGAUGAGGUGGUCUAUUGAUAAAGCGACUUGUCGAUGAAGCAAUCUUUAUCGUUUUGUUGGUAGGGCAGCACAUAUUGGCGAAGUAUCUGUCUGUUGUUGGUGAAUAAAGUGGCUGGCUUCUUACUUGGUGGUAAAGCAAAGUAACUUGUUGCCAAAGUAACUUUGUCAGUAUACUUGCUGAAAAAGCAACUAACUUUGGUGAAGAAUCAUUUGGCUGGUGAUUUGUCAUCUUGCUGGUGGAGUAUCUUACUGCUGAUGAAGAGACUACUUUUGCUGGUGUAGAAUUAACUUUUGAUUAGAAGGUCUUGUGGUAAUUUUGAAGGAAUUUUUUCAGGAUUUUGGUGAAGCUGAAGAGGUUUUGAAGGAAUCUUUUGAAAUGCCCCGUAAAUAUUUUUGUUGUUGACAUAAUUUGACUGGUGAUGGAGCAUCUGCUAAUUUGGAUGGAAUCUCUACUACUUGUUGAUGGAGAGACAGUUUUUGUUGGCAGUAUAGCUUGGAUACUUACUAUUUGUUGCAUUGUUAUCAACUUGGAGAAAGAUUAGUGUAGUUUUUUUUUCCUUCUUCAAACAUUAUUUUGAGGAAGAUUAAAAGUGAAAAAUUUUAUACCUGUAUAGAAUAAUACCUUCUUCUUUUGGUCAAAAUUUUAUGGAUGGGUUUGGAAAACUCUCAUGUAAAAUUUAUAUUCCUCUUCUUUUUUCAGGAAUGGC